rnacentral:rRNA from 1 species
UACGUAGGGUGCAAGCGUUAAUCGGAAUACUGGGCGUAAAGCGUGCGCAGGCGGUUUUGUAAGUCUGUCGUGAAAUCCCCCGGGCUCAACCUGGGAAUUGCGAUGGAGACUGCAAGGCUAGAAUCUGGCAGAGGGGGGGUAGAAUUCCACGUGUAGCAGUGAAAUGCGUAGAGAUGUGGAGGAACACCGAUGGCGAAGGCAGCCCCCUGGGUCAAGAUUGACGCUCAUGCAC